rnacentral:rRNA from 1 species
GACGAACGCUGGCGGCGUGCUUAACACAUGCAAGUCGAACGGAAAGGCCCUGCUUUUGUGGGGUGCUCGAGUGGCGAACGGGUGAGUAACACGUGAGUAACCUGCCCUUGACUUUGGGAUAACUUCAGGAAACUGGGGCUAAUACCGGAUAGGAGCUCCUGCUGCAUGGUGGGGGUUGGAAAGUUUCGGCGGUUGGGGAUGGACUCGCGGCUUAUCAGCUUGUUGGUGGGGUAGUGGCUUACCAAGGCUUUGACGGGUAGCCGGCCUGAGAGGGUGACCGGCCACAUUGGGACUGAGAUACGGCCCAGACUCCUACGGGAGGCAGCAGGGGGGAACUUUGCACAAUGGGCGGAAGCCUGAGGCAGCAACGCCGCGUGCGGGAUGACGGCCUUCGGGUUGUAAACCGCUUUCGCCUGUGACGAAGCGUGAGUGACGGUAAUGGGUAAAGAAGCACCGGCUAACUACGUG